GCCGUAAAAUNNUUAACNNNACACUAAACCGCCAGGAAUUACGAGCCCAAGCUUAAAACCCAAAGGACUUGACGGUGUCCCACCCACCUAGAGGAGCCUGUUCUAUAAUCGAUUCUCCCCGAUAAACCUCACCACUUCUAGCCAACUCAGCCUGUAUACCUCCGUCGUAAGCUUACCAUAUGAACGUUAACUAGUGAGCUUAAAGAUCUAUUCAUCAACACGUCAGGUCAAGGUGCAGCUCACGAAGNGGGAAGCAAUGGGCUACAAUUUCUAACAUAGAACACACGAAAGACUACAUGAAACACAGUCAUGAAGGCGGAUUUAGCAGUAAAAAGAAAAUAGAGAGUUCUUUUUAAUUAGGCACUGGGACGCGUACACACCGCCCGUCACCCUCUUCAAACGCCCACAAACGUUAACUAACAAUUUACCGCACAAUAGAAGAGGUAAGUCGUAACACGGUAAGCGUACUGGAAAGUGCGCUUGGACUAA
rnacentral:rRNA from 1 species